UACGGAGGGUGCAAGGGUUAAUCGGAAUCACUGGGCGUAAAGCGCGCGUAGGCGGCUUUUUAAGUCGGUCGUGAAAGCCCUCGGCUCAACCGGGGAACUGCGUUCGAAACUGGGAAGCUUGAGUCCUGGAGAGGGUGGCGGAAUUCCGGGUGUAGGAGUGAAAUCCGUAGAUAUCCGGAGGAACACCGGUGGCGAAGGCGGCAACCUGGACAGGUACUGACGCUGAGGCGCGAAAGCGUGAGGAGCAAACAGG
rnacentral:rRNA from 1 species